rnacentral:rRNA from 1 species
CGAGGUUAAAACGGAUGGACAUACGUAGCGGAAAAGGGGGUCUCAUCUCCUCGAACCUUGCGGCGCUGGCGCGCUUUAGACCGGCUUCGCCCGGCCGCCCUCGCGGCGGUUUCCGGUCUCCGAAGAAGGCUAUCGCGUCGGCGGACGUCGGGGAAAGGGGGGUGGAUUUCUCUCCUUAGUACGCGGUCGCGGCCGUUCGAAGGUUGUCCGUGACCUGGGAGCUUGGGAACCGAGCCGCCUUCGGCCUUCUCUAAGGAGGUACGGAGACGCGGAUCGGGGACUCUCCCUAGAAUCUGACGGACUCUCGGACGGUUCGAUGAGAGGAAGGGCUCUGGGCUUAGUCCUCGUGUCCCUUCGCGCGGCCGAUAUUCGCGAUCGUCCAUCCGUCCCGUCUUGAAACACGGACCAAGGAGUCUAACACGUGCGCGAGUCAAAGGGAUAAGUCUAAUCCCCGAGGCGCAACGAAAGCGAAAAAGGAGCUCUUCCUCGCCGCGGCAGCCUCCGCCGUCUCUCGUCUUCGUCCGUCCGCGAGCGCGCGCUCUCUCUCCUCUCUCUUCCCUCACGGGGGGAGGGUUGUGGGGGGGGCGUCGUCGUUGGCGGCGUCGUCGGCGGGUCGAUCGGUAGUGGUUUUGCCCGCGGCAGCAGGGGAGUUCCGUUGGGCCGAUCCGUGAUUCUUACCCAGAGGACCGGCGCAGGCCCGGGGCUCGUCGCUACCCUCUCGUGGCCCUUCGCGGGGCUCUCGUGACGGGCGGCGGGCACCUAGAGCGUACAUGCUAGUACCCGAAAGAUGGUGAUCUAUGCC